rnacentral:rRNA from 1 species
UACAGAGGGUGCGAGCGUUAAUCGGAAUUACUGGGCGUAAAGCGCACGUAGGCGGCUUGGUAUGUCGGGUGUGAAAUCCCCGGCUCAACCUGGGAACUGCAUCCGAAACUGCCUUGCUCGAGUAUGGGAGAGGGAAGUGGAAUUUCCGGUGUAGCGGUGAAAUGCGUAGAUAUCGGAAGGAACAUCAGUGGCGAAGGCGACUUCCUGGACCAAUACUGACGCUCAGGUGCGAAGCGUGG